UGGGGAAUAUUGCGCAAUGGGGGGAACCCUGACGCAGCCAUGCCGCGUGAAUGAAGAAGGCCUUAGGGUUGUAAAGUUCUUUCGGUAUUGAGGAAGGUUGAUGUGUUAAUAGCACAUCAAAUUGACGUUAAAUACAGAAGAAGCACCGGCUAACUCCGUGCCAGCAGCCGCGGUAAUACGGAGGGUGCGAGCGUUAAUCGGAAUAACUGGGCGUAAAGGGCACGCAGGCGGUUAUUUAAGUGAGGUGUGAAAGCCCCGGGCUUAACCUGGGAAUUGCAUUUCAGACUGGGUAACUAGAGUACUUUAGGGAGGGGUAGAAUUCCACGUGUAGCGGUGAAAUGCGUAGAGAUGUGGAGGAAUACCGAAGGCGAAGGCAGCCCCUUGGGAAUGUACUGACGCUCAUGUGCGAAAGCGUGGGGAGCAAACAGGAUUAGAUACCCUGGUAGUCCACGCUGUAAACGCUGUCGAUUUGGGGGUUGGGGUUUAACUCUGGCGCCCGUAGCUNACGUGAUAAAUCGACCGCCUGGGGAGUACGGNCGCAAGGUUA
rnacentral:rRNA from 1 species